AUGCGUGUGAGCUCGAAGAGGAUGCGCGGGAGCUCGAAGAGGACGCACGCGAGCUCGAGGAGGACGUGCCGGGAGGUUCCGACGACGCCCGCAGGUAAUCGCGGCGGGAGGGGAUCGCGGCUGCGCAGGUCUGGGUGGCGGCGGCGCAGCAGGUACUUGGCGACGGCGGCUGCGGCGGAGGUGGAGCAGGUACGUGGCGACGGCGGCGGAGCACUUCCUGCUGUGCGGCGAAUCGCGCAGCUUGGCGGCGCCGGCCCCUGGCGACGACGGAGGAAGAAGACGGGGGCGGAGGGAGUUGUUUCAGAUCGUUUUGAAACUAGGAGGUUUUUUUUGUAA
rnacentral:rRNA from 1 species